AUUGAACGCUGGCGGCAUGCCUAACACAUGCAAGUCGAGCGGAGCGGCGGACGGGUGAGUAAUGCCUAGGAAUUUGCCUGGUAGUGGGGGAUAACGUUCGGAAACGGGCGCUAAUACCGCAUACUAUCAGAUGAGCCUAGGCCGGAUUAGCCAGUUGGGGGGGUAAAGGCCUACCAAGGCGACGAUCCGUAACUGGUCUGAGAGGAUGAUCAGUCACACUGGAGCUGAGCAACGGUCAAUAGUCCUAAGGGAGGCAGCAGUGGGGAAUAUUGGACAAUGGGCGAAAGCCUGAUCCAGCCAUGCAGCGUGUGUGAAGAAGGUCUUCGGAGUGUAAAGCAGUUUAAGUUGGGAGGCGUUACCAGCAGAAGAAGCACCGGCUAACUUCGUGCCAGCCGCCGCGGUAAUAC
rnacentral:rRNA from 1 species